rfam:Camelus ferus unplaced genomic scaffold scaffold332, whole genome shotgun sequence.
GAGCAUAUAGCUCAAGUGGUAGAAGUGCAUGCUUAGCAUGCAUGAGGUCUUGGGUUCAAAACCCAGUUCCUCU